CCAGCUCCAAUAGCGUAUAUUAAAGUUGUUGCAGUUAAAAAGCUCGUAGUUGGAUUUCUGGUUGUGGCAAACGGUCCGCCCUAAACAGGGUGUGUGCUUAUUGCCUCUUCCAUCCUUGAGGACAACGUAUCUGUCAUUAACUUGUCGGGUACGGUUUCCUCGUCAUUUACUGUGAGCAAAAUAGAGUGUUCAAAGCAGGCUUGUCCGUUGAAUAUAUUAGCAUGGAAUAAUAAGAUAGGACCUUGGUCUAUUUUAUUCGUUAGCAUUCCAAGGUAAUGAUUAAUAGGGAUAGUUGGGGGUAUUCGUAUUCAAUUGUCAGAGGUGAAAUUCUUGGAUUUAUGGAAGACGAACUACUGCGAAAGCAUUUACCAAAUAUGUUUUCAUUAAUCAAGAACGAAAGUUAGGGGAUCGAAGAUGAUUAGAUACCAUCGUAGUCUUAACCAUAAACUAUGCCGACUAGGGAUUGGUGGUAGUAUGUAAUGACUCCAUCAGCACCUUAUGAGAAAUCAAAGUCUUUGGGUUCCGGGGGGAGUAUGGUCGCAAGGCUGAAACUUAAAGAAAUUGACGGAAGGGCACCACCAGGAGUGGAGCCUGCGGCUUAAUUCGACUCAAC
rnacentral:rRNA from 1 species